rnacentral:rRNA from 1 species
UACGUAGGGGGGCAAGCGUUGUCCGGAAUUAUUGGGCGUAAAGAGCUCGUAGGCGGUCUGUCGCGUCGAUCGUGAAAACUUGGGGCUUAACCCUGAGCUUGCGGUCGAUACGGGCAUGACUGGAGUUCGGCAGGGGAGACUGGAAUUCCUGGUGUAGCGGUGAAAUGCGCAGAUAUCAGGAGGAACACCGGUGGCGAAGGCGGGUCUCUGGGCCGAUACUGACGCUGAGGAGCGAAAGCGUGGGGGAGCAAACAGG